rnacentral:rRNA from 1 species
UACGGGGGGGGCAAGCGUUGUUCGGAAUUACUGGGCGUAAAGGGCUCGUAGGCGGCCAACUAAGUCAGACGUGAAAUCCCUCAGCUUAACUGGGGAACUGCGUCUGAUACUGGAUGGCUUGAGAUUGGGAGAGGGAUGCGGAAUUCCAGGUGUAGCGGUGAAAUGCGUAGAUAUCUGGAGGAACACCGGUGGCGAAGGCGGCAUCCUGGACCAACACUGACGCUGAGGAGCGAAAGCCAGGGGAACAAACGGG